rnacentral:lncRNA from 1 species
GUUAGUUUAAACUAAAACUAGAAGAAGUAGUACAGGUGCUGAAACUUUGUUUUGUAUUCACUGACUUCAACUUGUUACAGCAUAGACUUAAUAUAUAGAAAAACAAGUUACACCAGUAAGCACUACCCUGAGAAAUAGCAACCACUAAACACACCACUCAACAACUAAUCUAAAAUUCAGGACUCAAACAACCACAUCUAACAGCUAGUUGACAACUCCUAUAAAUUAGGAUUUAUUAUUUGACUCAAUAAUAAAUUCAUAAAUAAUUCUAACAUUCCCUCCCUUAAACUGAACAUCUCCAGAUUUCAGUUUAAAGCAAACUGUUGCCUUGCCUUCCUCUAUUCUGUGUUCUUUAAAGCACAGACUCCAAGUAACUUACGCAGCUUCAGAAAUGCAGUUGAUUUGAGGGGCUUCGUGAAUAUAUCAGCUACCUGGUCUUCACUUCUACAGUAGAUUAAAUCUAUGACUUCAUCUCUUGACAGAUCACGUAAGAAGUGAAACCUUACAUCAAUAUGUUUGCAUCUCCCAUGAAACACUGGAUUUUUGGACAGCUUGAUGGUGGAGCUAUUGUCACAGAAUAUUAAACUGGCAUCCUUUUGCUUACACUGAAGCUCCUCAAGAAUAUUACGCAACCACAAAGCCUGACAAGUACAUACUGCUGCUGCUACAAACUCGGCUUCAGUGGUCGAAAGAGUAACUAUUGGCUGUUUCUUCGAACACCAUGAAACUGCUGCAGAACCAAAAAUAAAGGCAUAACCAGAAGUGCUCUUUCGAUCAUCUAAGUCUCCAGCAUAGUCACUGUCAGUGAAGCCAAAUAAUUCUGGAGCUUCACCUCUUUUAUAAAAUAGCCCAAAAUCACAAGUUCCCUUCAAGUAGCGCAGAAUUCUCUUUGCCGCUAACAGAUGAUUCUCCUUUGGAGUUUCCAUGUACCUACUAAUCAUACUCACAGCUUGCAUUAUGUCCGGUCUGGUUGCUGUUAAGUACAUCAAGCUUCCGACAAUUUGCUUAUAAAGAGUACUAUCAACUCCUCUCCCAUUAGAUUCCUUGGUAAGUUUCACACCCUUUUCAGCUGGAGUAGUUACUGGAUUGCAAUCAAGCAUACCAAACCUUCCUAAUACUUCCUGUACAUACUUCUUUUGACAGAGAAAAAUUCCAGAAUCUGAUUGCACUGUUUCUAUGCCAAGAAAAUAAUGCAUCAUCCCAAGAUCAGACAUAUCAAACUCAUGCAUCAUAGAUUGCUUAAAUCUUUCAAGCAUGACACUAUCAUUUCCAGUAUAAAUAAGAUCAUCAACAUAUAAGCACACAAUAACCAACUUUCCAUCAUCUCCUCAUAUGGACACCUUUUGAAGCCUUCUUUUAAAAAAUAAGCAUCUAUACGACUAUACCAGGCUCUAGGAGCCUGCUUUAGUCCGUAUAAAGCUUUCUUUAAUUUAUAGACUUUGUGCUCAUUACCUGAUUUGACAUAGCCAGGUGGUUGAUCAACGAACACCUCUUCCUCCAAGUCUCCUUGUAAGAAUGCUGACUUGACAUCUAGCUGAAAUAUUUUCCAUGAGUUGCAGGCUGCUAAAGCCGUCACCAAACGAAUAGUAUCAUGCCUUGCGACAGGUGCAAAGACUUCCAUGUAAUCAAUUCCGUGUUCCUGCUUGUAUCCUUUUGCAACAAGACGUGCCUUAUGUUUAUCAACUUCUCCAUUUGCAUUAAGUUUUGUCUUGUAAACCCACUUCACAUCGAUGCUCUUUUUUCCGGGUGGAAGGUCAACCAACUCCCACGUAUCAUUUUUCUCGAGUGCUGCCAUUUCAUCAUCCAUAGCACUCCUCCAUUUUUCUUCUUUCACAGCUUCCUUGAAAAUUGUUGGAUCACAAUCAGAAAAUAGAGCAAAUUGCACAAGGGGAUCCUCUGGAAUUUCAUUAUCUGGAACUUGAUAAUCUGACAUCCAUGCUGGCCUUCUUCUAGCACGCUGUGAACGUAAACAAGCAGAAUCUUGCAGCUGCUCAUGAGUUUCUGGACCUGUUCCCAUGCUAUCAAGAGUGCUAGAAUCAACAUUUGAUGAGUUACCAGGUGCUGCAACAUCAGGAAUUUGCUGUUGUUGCAUAUCAGCAUCAUAUUCGACAUCAAAAUCUGCUGGAAUCUGUUGAGAAUCAUCACCACUAGUGCUACUCCAAGACCAGAAUUUUUUUUCAUCGAACACUACAUCUCGGCUCACCACUAUCUUCUUGGUAAUAGGAUUAUACAGCUUGUAAGCCUUUGUUGGCUCGCUAAUACCAAGAAAAAUGCAUUUUUCUCCCUUGUUAUCGAGUUUUUUUCUUCUUUGAUCAGGAAUAUGGGCAUAUGCAAUGCUCCCAAAAAUUCUGAAUUGAUUUACAUCAGGUUUUUCACCUUUCCAAGCUUCCUGCGGAGUCAUAUUUUUAACAGAAAAAGUAGGACUUCUAUUUAAAACAUGAAUACUCCAAUUUACUGCUUCUGGCCAAAAAUUCUUUGGCACUCCGCUCAUGGACAAAAGACUUCGAACCAUAUUAAGGAUCGUCCGGUUUUUUCUUUCACUGACACCGUUUUGCUGAGGUGUAUAGGCUGCUGUAAGCUGUUUUUUAAUGCCAUGAUUUUCACAGAACUUCACAAAAUCGUGCGAGGUAUAUUCUCCUCCACGAUCCGUGCGGAGUACUUGAAUAGAUUUGCCUGUUUCCUUUUCCACAAGUGCUUUGUAAUUUUUGAAUGCCAGAAAUGCUUCAUCCUUUGUUUGCAAAAAAUCAACCCACACUUUCCGACUAAAAUCAUCAACAAAGGUUAUAAAAUACCUUUUCCCUCCAUUAGACAUAUGAUUCAUAGGCCCACAAAUAUCGGAAUGGAUCAGUUCCAACACCUCCUUGGCUCUCACAGACUUUCCUUUAGGGAAUGGAUCCCUAUGUUGUUUGCUAACAACACAAUCUUCACAAACUUCAGAUGGAGCACUUAUUUGGGGAAGACCAAACACCAUAUUUUUUCGUGAAAGCGUUUGCAAACCAGCAAAAUUUAAAUGACCAUAUCGAAAAUGCCACAACCAUGAUGCAUCAUUUAACUUUGCUGAGAAACAUGAAUAAUUGAGAGUGUGCAGAUAAAGCGGAAACAUUCUGUUGUGUGUCAUUUUUACCUCAGCUAUCAGCCCCAAUUUCUUCUCUUUAAUCGUACACACACCAUUCUUAAUACAUAUUUCAUACCCCAUAUCUUGCAGUUGUCCAACACUAAGCAAGUUUGUUUUCAAAUCAGGAACAAAAAGAACAUCUGAAAUAGUGUGACCUACAUUUCCUUUGCCUUGAACAGUGACUUUCCCUUUUCCCAGAACAGAAAUGGUUGAAUUAUCCCCAAAUUUCACAUUAUGAUUAAAGGAUUUGUCUAACUCUGAAAAUGCACUCUCAUUCCCACACAUGUGAUUGCUACAACCGGUAUCUAAAUACCACAUGUUUAAUUUCGUUUUCUCUGUCUCAUGGCACACCAUUAGUAAAGUCACCUCUUCAGACGUGUCCUCAACUUUAACAAAAUUACUUCUUUCAACAUUCGGUUUAUUCAGAUUCGUAUAACAUUCAGACUUAUAGUGACCAAACUUAUGACAACGAUAACAUUCAAUUGCAGACUUGUCUACUGACUUGGAUUUGUUACCAAAUGAUUGAUGUCCUCCUUUGCCAAAUUUCCUCCCUUGGUGCUCCUGAUUUGCACGACUUUUAUAACCAUUGCUGCCUCCUUUGUGAUAGUUGUUGACUGGUUUAGAAUGAUUGCCGCUGGAUACAUGUAGAGCUUGCUCCUCCUCAUCUUGCCUGAUAAGCUUUCGCUCGUGAACUUUCAGAGAAUUUUCAAGUUCCUCAAUAGAUAGAUGGUCAAUGUUUUUGGACUCUUCUAUUGAGCAAACUAUAUAAUUAUACUUUGAUGUUAAAGAGCGAAGAAUUUUUUCCACCACGGUAACAUCCUCCUUUUUGUCUCCAUUAAUUCGUAACUUGUUAACAAUUGCCAUUGUCCUUGAGAAAAAAAUCAGCAACAGACUCUCCUGGCUUCAUUUUUAAACUAUCAAACUCCUCACGGAGUGAUUGCAGCAACACCCUUUUAGCUCUUUCAUUCCCUUGGUAUUUCUUUUUCAUUGCAUCCCAUAUAUCUUUAGAGGUAUCUUUGCAAAGAAUAGUCUCUAAAGUGGACCUAUCAAUGGCUUGGAAUAGAUAAUUCUUCGCUUUACAAUCCUUCAAUGUCUGUGCCUCAAUUUCAGGUUUCUGCGCGUCUGGUGUGUCUUUCGUAACCUCUUUAACACCAUCCGUAACAAUCUGCCAAUACUCCUUGGACCUCAAGAAGUUCUCCAUUAGCAUACUCCAAUGAUCAUAGUGACCAUCAAAACGAGGGAUUGAAGCUUGGACAAAGUUAUUUUCAGAUGUCAUCACUAUGCUGCAGCGUUUAGGUGAUGACAAAUAAUUCUGGAACAAGGAAAAGUGUCUCGCUCUGAUACCACUGUUAGUUUAAACUAAAACUAGAAGAAGUAGUACAGGUGCUGAAACUUUGUUUUGUAUUCACUGACUUAAACUUGUUACAGCAUAGACUUAAUAUAUAGAAAAACAAGUUACACCAGUAAGCUCUACCCUGAGAAAUAGCAACCACAAAACACACCACUCACCAACUAAUCUAAAAUUCAGGACUCAAACAACCACAUCUAACAGCUAGUUGACAACUCCUAUAAAUUAGGAUUUAUUAUUUGAC